UAGUAUUGCACCUGAGUGACGACGCCCAC
rnacentral:piRNA from 1 species